rnacentral:tRNA from 1 species
GCCCCCAUCGUCUAGCGGCCUAGGACACUGGCCUUUCACGCCGGCAGCACGGGUUCGAAUCCCGUUGGGGGUGCCA